rnacentral:rRNA from 1 species
CCUACGGUGGGCAGCAGUGGGGAAUAUUGCACGAUGGGGGAAACCCUGAUGCAGCGAAGCCGCGUGAGUGACGAAGUAAUUCGUUAUGUAAAGCUCUAUCAGCGGGGAAGCAACUGACGGUACCUGCGUAAGAAGCCCCGGCUAACUACGUGCCAGCAGCCGCGGUAAUACGUAGGGGGCAAGCGUUAUCCGGAUUUACUGGGUGUAAAGGGAGCGUAGACGGCAGUGCAAGUCUGGAGUGAAAGGCGGGGGCUCAACCCCCGGACUGCUCUGGAAACUGUACGGCGGGAGUGCAGGAGAGGUAAGUGGAAUUGCUAGUGUAGCGGUGAAAUGCGUAGAUAUUAGGAGGAACACCAGUGGCGAAGGCGGCUUACGGGACUGUAACUGACGUUGAGGCUCGAAAGCGUGGGGAGCAAACAGGAUUAGAUACCCUUGUAGUC